UACAGAGGGUGCGAGCGUUGUUCGGAAUUAUUGGGCGUAAAGGGCGCGUAGGCGGCGCCACAAGUCACUUGUGAAAACUCUGGGCUCAACUCAGAGCCUGCAAGCGAAACUGUGGUGCUGGAGUAUGGGAGAGGUGCGUGGAAUUCCCGGUGUAGCGGUGAAAUGCGUAGAUAGUCGGGAGGAACACCUGUGGCGAAGGCGGUUCUCUGGGCAUUACCGUGACGCUG
rnacentral:rRNA from 1 species